GAUGAACGCUAGCGGCAGGCCUAAUACAUGCAAGUCGAACGGUGUCUUCGGACAUAGUGGCGCACGGGUGUGUAACACGUAUGCAACCUACCUUACAUUGGGGGAUAGCCUUUCGAAAGGGAGAUUAAUACCGCAUAAGACAGUAGCUGGGCAUCCAGCAGCUGUUAAAGAUUUAUCGAUGUAAGCUGGGCAUGCGUCCAAUUAGCUAGUUGGUGAGGUAACGGCUCACCAAGGCAAUGAUUGGUAGGGGAACUGAGAGGUCAAUCCCCCACACUGGCACUGGGAUACGGGCCAGACUCCGACGGGAGGCAGCAGUAGGGAAUAUUGGGCAAUGGACGCAAGUCUGACCCAGCCAUGCCGCGUGCAGGAUGAAGGCGUUAUGCGUUGUAAACUGCUUUUAUACAGGAAGAAACGACUCUUGCGAGAGGCAUUGACGGUACUGUAUGAAUAAGCACCGACUAACUCCGUGCCAGCAGCCGCGGUAACAC
rnacentral:rRNA from 1 species